AGGUGGGGGACAACAGUUGGAAACGACUGCUAAUACCGCAUAAUGUCUACGGACCAAAGGGGGCUUCGGCUCUCGCCUUUAGAUUGGCCCAAGUGGGAUUAGCUAGUUGGUGAGGUAAUGGCUCACCAAGGCAACGAUCCCUAGCUGGUUUGAGAGGAUGAUCAGCCACACUGGGACUGAGACACGGCCCAGACUCCUACGGGAGGCAGCAGUGGGGAAUAUUGCACAAUGGGCGCAAGCCUGAUGCAGCCAUGCCGCGUGUGUGAAGAAGGCCUUCGGGUUGUAAAGCACUUUCAGUCAGGAGGAAAGGUUAGUAGUUAAUACCUGCUAGCUGUGACGUUACUGACAGAAGAAGCACCGGCUAACUCCGUGCCAGCAGCCGCGGUAAUACGGAGGGUGCGAGCGUUAAUCGGAAUUACUGGGCGUAAAGCGUACGCAGGCAGUUUGUUAAGCGAGAUGUGAAAGCCCCGGGCUCAACCUGGGAACUGCAUUUCGAACUGGCAAACUAGAGUGUGAUAGAGGGUGGUAGAAU
rnacentral:rRNA from 1 species